UACGUAGGGGGCGAGCGUUGUCCGAAUUUACUGGGCGUAAAGCGCGCGUAGGCGGUUUCUUAAGUCUGGGGUGAAAGGUUCAACGCUCAACGUGAACAGUGCCUUGGAUACUGGGAGACUUGAGUCUGGGAGGGGGCAGUGGAAUUCCUGGUGUAGCGGUGAAAUGCGUAGAUAUCAGGAGGAACACCGGUGGCGAAGGCGGCUGCCUGGCCUAAGACUGACGCUGAGGUGCGAAAGCGUGGGUAGCGAACGGGAUUAGAAACCCUCGUAGUCC
rnacentral:rRNA from 1 species